UACGUAGGGGGCAAGCGUUGUCCGGAAUCAUUGGGCGUAAAGCGCGUGUAGGCGGCUCGAUAAGUCCGCUCUGAAAGUCCAGGGCUCAACCCUGGGAUGCGGGUGGAUACUGUCGAGCUCGAGUCCGGAAGAGGCGAGUGGAAUUCCCGGUGUAGCGGUGAAAUGCGCAGAUAUCGGGAGGAACACCAAUGGCGAAGGCAGCUCGCUGGGACGUGACUGACGCUGAGACGCGAAAGCGUGGGGAGCAAACAGG
rnacentral:rRNA from 1 species